rnacentral:rRNA from 1 species
GUGUCAGCAGCCGCGGUAAUACGUAGGGUGCGAGCGUUAAUCGGAAUUACUGGGCGUAAAGCGUGCGCAGGCGGUUUUGAAAGUCAGAUGUGAAAUCCCCGAGCUCAACUUGGGAACUGCGAUUGAAACUCCAAAGCUAGAGUAUAGGAGAGGGGGGUAGAAUUCCACGUGUAGCAGGGAAAUGCGUAGAGAUGUGGAGGAAUACCAAUGGCGAAGGCAGCCCCCUGGGUUAACACUGACGCUCAUGCACGAAAGUGUGGGGAGCAAACAGGAUUAGAAACCCUCGUAGUCC